rnacentral:lncRNA from 1 species
AUGAGUCGCUGCUCGCUCGUUUCCUCUGUCGUCUCCUCUCUAUCGUGUCCUCUAUCGUCUCCUCUCUAUCGUCGUCCUCCCUCGUCUCCUCUCUAUCUCGUCCUCCCUCUCGUCUCCUCUCUAUCGCGUCCUCUCGUCUCCUCUCUAUCGUGUCCUCUAUCGUGUCCUCUGUGGUCUCCUCUCUAUCUCGCUCCCUCUCUCUCCUCAUCUCCUUCUCUAUCUCGUCCUCCGUCGUCUCCUCUCUCUCUCUGUCCUCCCUCGUCUCCUCUCUAUCGCGUCCUCCCUCGUCUCCUCUCUAUCGCGUCCUCCCUCGUCUCCUCUCUAUCGCGUCCUCCCUCGUCUCCUCUCUAUCGCGUCCUCCUCGUCUCCUCUCUAUCUCUCCUCCGUCGUCUCCUCCUCUCAUCCUCUCUAUCUCGUCCUCCGUCAUCUCCUCCGCCCUCGUCUCCUCUCUCUCGUCCUCCCUCGUCUCCUCUCUAUCUCGCCUCCCUCGUCUCCUCUCUAUCGCUCCCUCGUCUCUCUCUAUCUCGUCCUCCCUCGUCUCCUCUCUAUCUCGUCCUCCUCUCUCCUCUCUAUCGUCUCCUCUUCGCUCCUCCGUCGUCUCCUCUCUAUCUCGUCCUCUCUCGUCUCCUCUCUAUCGUGUCCUCUGUCGUCUCCUCUCUAUCGUCUCCUCUCUAUCGUGUCCUCUGUGGUCUCCUCUAUCUCGUCCUCCCUCUUCUCCUCCGUCGUCUCCUCUCUAUCUCGUCCUCCUCGUCUCCUCUCUAUCUCGUCCUCCGUCGUCUCCUCUCUAUCUCGUCCUCCCUCGUCUCCUCUCUAUCGCGUCCUCCCUCGUCUCCUCUCUAUCGCGUCCUCCCUCGUCUCCUCUCUAUCUCGUCCUCCCUCGUCUCCUCUCUAUCUCUCCUCCGUCGUCUCCUCUCUACUCGCCUCUCUCUCUCUCUGCGUCCUCCCUCGUCUCCUCUCUAUCUCGCGUCCUCCCUUCGCUCCUCUCUCUCUAUCUCGCCUCCUCCCUCUCCUCUCUAUCUCUUCCUCUCUCUCUCCUCUCGUCUCCUCUCUAUCUCGUCCUCCCUCGUCUCCUCUCUAUCGUGUCCUCUGUCGUCUCCUCUCUAUCGUCUCCUCUCUAUCGUGUCCUCUGUGGUCUCCUCAUCUCCCUCGUCCUCCCUCUCUCCUCCGCUCGUCUCCUCUCUAUCUCGCGUCCUCCUCGUC